UGGGUCGAUGCUCGAGUGGUUAAUGGAGACUGAUUGUAAAUUCGUUGAUAAUAUGUCUACGCUGGUUCAAAUCCAGCUUGGUCCAAC
rnacentral:tRNA from 1 species